GUCUCGGUAGCUCAGUGGUAGAGCGUGGGAUUGCAGCCAGCAACGCUACAAUCAUCCUAAGGUCUCGUGUUCGACCCACGAUCGGGACU
rfam:Punctularia strigosozonata HHB-11173 SS5 unplaced genomic scaffold PTNSTscaffold_7, whole genome shotgun sequence.